GGGCCAGUAGCUCAGUACUUUCGUAUAUCACGCCUUGCCUGAUUUUCAUCGGGCUGAAGAUGUACGGUUAUCUGGUAGAGCGACCGAAAAGGUUGUCGGGGGUUCGAUUCCCUCCUGGUCCACCA
rnacentral:tRNA from 1 species